UGAGGUUCUGGUUCCUGGAAUGUGUGAGCUGGGAGGACCAGGAGAGGAGAAGGGGGCCGUCAGGGAGGGGAAGGCACCCAGAUGACAGCCUCAGAGGGAGGGCACCGCCCCACCGAAACCCAAAAUCAGGUGUUUAUGACCUCAGCGGGCCCACGGUCCAAAGGACUCAGAACUUCAGGAGCCUCGGCCUCCGGUCCCCAGCCACUCCCAUGCAAGGGGAUGUGUGAGAACGGGCUAGUACAGGAGAGUGCUCAGGGCAGCGCCUGGCGCUUAGGGAGAGCGCAGUAGCCGUUUAUUAUCAUCAUCCUCUCAUUUACUCCUCACAAGCAGCCCCUGAAGUCCCAGCAUUAUGCUCCUAUUUAACAGGUGUCACCGUCGAGGGCCAGGGGGCUACAGGUUUCACUCACUCAUUCGACACGUUGUCAGAUGCCACCAAACACGGUCCUACGUCCUGAGGAUACAGGGUGAUCAACGAACGUCCCCACCCUUGAGGACAUUCAAAGGGUGGGCGGUUUUGGGGGAGGGGAGGGGCAGAUGUUACAGGAUAAAACAAUACCUUGCAAGGCAGUAUGCGCUAUGCAGAAGAAAGCAGGGUAGGGGGCCGCCAUCGCCAGACCCCCAGGUGCCCUCCUCACCCUGCUUGGGCUCCAAACCGCACAUCAGGAAGCUGCUGCCCUGCCUGGCCUCCCUCCCUCACCGUGGAGCUCCCCAGCCUCUGGGAUUGGGGAAGGGAGGAGUGUGAAGCUGGAGGCACAGCAGGCCGGCUCCCACCUCCCCCUGGCCCAGGCCUCUUGGCUGAAGCUGGUUUGAGCCAGUUUCUUUCACUUUAUCACCUUGAACAUUUCGCUGCAACCUUCUAAAUGCAGCUUAUUUUUUAAAAUAGAUUUAUUUAUUUACUUUGGC